rnacentral:rRNA from 1 species
UUGGAGGGCAAGUCUGGUGCCAGCAGCCGCGGUAAUUCCAGCUCCAAUAGCGUAUAUUAAAGUUGCUGCAGUUAAAAAGCUCGUAGUUGAAUUUCGGGACCAUCAUGUCGGUCGUGCCUCGGUACGUACUGGUAUUGUUGGUUUCUCCCUUCUGACGAACCAUGAUGUCAUUUAUUUGGUGUUGUGGGGAAUCAGGACUGUUACUUUGAAAAAAUUAGAGUGUUUAAAGCAGGCUCACGCUUGAAUACAUUAGCAUGGAAUAAUGAAAUAGGACGUUUGAUUCUAUUUUGUUGGUUUCUAGGAUCGACGUAAUGAUUAAUAGGGAUAGUUGGGGGCAUUAGUAUUCAAUUGUCAGAGGUGAAAUUCUUGGAUUUAUUGAAGACUAACUACUGCGAAAGCAUUUGCCAAGGAUGUUUUCAUUAAUCAAGAACGAAAGUUAGGGGAUCGAAGACGAUCAGAUACCGUCGUAGUCUUAACCAUAAACUAUGCCGACUAGGGAUCGGAUGAUGUUAAUUUUUUAAUGACCCAUUCGGCCCCUUACGGGAACC